rnacentral:rRNA from 1 species
UUCGGGAUGCCGGCGAGUGGCGAACGGGUGAGUAAUACGUGGAAACCUAUCCCGAGGUGGGGGAUAACAGCUGGAAACGGCUGCUAAUACCGCAUAAGCCCUAAGGGGGAAAGAUUUAUCGCCUUGGGAGGGGUCCACGUCGGAUUAGCUAGUUGGUAAGGUAAAGGCCUACCAAGGCGACGAUCCGUAGCUGGUCUGAGAGGAUGGACAGCCACACUGGGACUGAGACACGGCCCAGACUCCUACGGGAGGCAGCAGUGGGGAAUAUUGCGCAAUGGGGGAAACCCUGACGCAGCGAUGCCGCGUGGGUGAAGAAGGCCUUCGGGUUGUAAAGCCCUUUCAGUGGGGAAGAUAGUGACGGUACCCACAGAAGAAGCUCCGGCUAACUCCGUGCCAGCAGCCGCGGUAAUACGGAGGGGGCGAGCGUUGUUCGGAAUUACUGGGCGUAAAGGGCGCGUAGGCGGUGCAGCAAG